UACAGAGGUGGCGAGCGUUGUUCGGAUUUACUGGGCGUAAAGGGUGCGUAGGCGGUCCUGUGUGUCGAACGUGAAAUCCCACGGAUCAUCUGUGGAACGGCGUUCGAAACUGCGGGGCUAGAGUGUGGGAGAGGAAGGUGGAAUUCUCGGUGUAGCGGUGAAAUGCGUUGAUAUCGAGAGGAACGCCGGGAGCGAAGGCGACCUUCUGGAACACAACUGACGCUGAGGCACGAAAGCUGGGGGAGCAAACAGG
rnacentral:rRNA from 1 species